AGUUAUGUUCUUGAAAUUUAAAGAUUUUGGCGGUAUUUUAGUCUAUUCAGAGGAACCUGCCCUAUAAUUGAUAAUCCACGAUUUAAAUUACUUAAGUUAUUAGUUUGUAUAUCAUCGUAAUUUGAAUAUUUUAUAAGAAUUUAAAUAUUCUAGAUAUAAAAUUAUAUAAAAAAUCAGAUCAGGGUGCAGUUGAUAUUUAAGUAGAGGUGGGUUACAUUUAAAUUAUUAUUGAAUAAUAUUUUUUAAAUUUAUUAGAAAUUGGAUUUGAAAGUAAUUAAAAAAAAUUUUUUUUAAUGAUUAAAGCUCUAAAAUAUGU
rnacentral:rRNA from 1 species